AUUGAACGCUGGCGGCAGGCCUAACACAUGCAAGUCGAGCGGCAGCGGGAAGAUAGCUUGCUAUCUUUGCCGGCGAGCGGCGGACGGGUGAGUAAUGCCUAGGGAUCUGCCCAGUCGAGGGGGAUAACAGUUGGAAACGACUGCUAAUACCGCAUACGCCCUACGGGGGAAAGGAGGGGACCUUCGGGCCUUCCGCGAUUGGAUGAACCUAGGUGGGAUUAGCUAGUUGGUGAGGUAAUGGCUCACCAAGGCGACGAUCCCUAGCUGUUCUGAGAGGAUGAUCAGCCACACUGGGACUGAGACACGGCCCAGACUCCUACGGGAGGCAGCAGUGGGGAAUAUUGCACAAUGGGGGAAACCCUGAUGCAGCCAUGCCGCGUGUGUGAAGAAGGCCUUCGGGUUGUAAAGCACUUUCAGUAGGGAGGAAAGGUAGCAGCUUAAUACGCUGUUGCUGUGACGUUACCUACAGAAGAAGGACCGGCUAACUCCGUGC
rnacentral:rRNA from 1 species